rnacentral:rRNA from 1 species
UACGAAGGGUGCAAGCGUUACUCGGAAUUACUGGGCGUAAAGGGUGCGUAGGUGGUUUUUUAAGUCCGUUGUGAAAUCCCUGGGCUCAACCUGGGAAUGGCAGUGGAUACUGGAAAGCUAGAGUGCGGUAGAGGGUAGUGGAAUUCCCGGUGUAGCAGUGAAAUGCGUAGAGAUCGGGAGGAACACCAGUGGCGAAGGCGGUUGCCUGGGGCUUUGCUGACGCUGAGGCGCGAAAGCCAGGGGAGCAAACGGG